UACGUAGGGUGCAAGCGUUAAUCGGAAUUACUGGGCGUAAAGCGUGCGCAGGCGGUUUGUAAGUCUGUCGUGAAAUCCCCGGGCUUAACCUGGGAAUGGCGAUGGAGACUGCAAGGCUAGAAUCUGGCAGAGGGGGUAGAAUUCCACGUGUAGCAGUGAAAUGCGUAGAGAUGUGGAGGAACACCGAUGGCGAAGGCGGCACUCUGGGCCGGAACUGACGCUGAGGAGGCGAAAGCGUGGGGAGCAAACAGG
rnacentral:rRNA from 1 species